rnacentral:rRNA from 1 species
UACAGAGACUGCGAGCGUUUAUUCGGAUUCACUGGGCGUAAAGGGUGCGCAGGCGGCCAAGUGUGUGAGGCGUGAAAGCCCGGGGCUUAACCCCGGAAUUGCACCUCAAACUACAUGGCUAGAGCAUUGGAGAGGGUAGCGGAAUUCACGGUGUAGCAGUGAAAUGCGUAGAUAUCGUGAGGAACACCAGAGGCGAAGGCGGCUACCUGGACAAUUGCUGACGCUCAGGCACGAAAGCGUGGGGAGCAAAAGGG